rnacentral:rRNA from 2 species
UGGGGAAUAUUGGGCAAUGGGGGCAACCCUGACCCAGCAACGCCGCGUGAAGGAAGGAGGUCUUCGGAUUGUAAACUUCUGUCUUCAGGGACGAAGAAGUGACGGUACCUGAAGAGGAAGCCCCGGCUAACUACGUGCCAGCAGCCGCGGUAAUACGUAGGGGGCAAGCGUUGUCCGGAAUUAUUGGGCGUAAAGGGCGCGUAGGCGGAGAUAUGUGUCAGCUGUGAAAACUACAGGCUUAACUUGUAACCUGCAGCUGAAACUGUAUCCCUUGAGUGCAGGAGAGGAAAGCGGAAUUCCCAGUGUAGCGGUGGAAUGCGUAGAUAUUGGGAGGAACACCAGUGGCGAAGGCGGCUUUCUGGACUGUAACUGACGCUGAGGCGCGAGAGCGUGGGGAGCAAACAGG